rnacentral:rRNA from 1 species
GUACACUCCUGCGGGAGGCAGCAGUGGGGAAUUUUGGACAAUGGGCGAAAGCCUGAUACAGCCAUGCCGCGUGCAGGAUGAAGGCCUUCGGGUUGUAAACUGCUUUUGUACGGAACGAAACGGCCUUUUCUAAUAAAGAGGGCUAAUGACGGUACCGUAAGAAUAAGCACCGGCUAACUACGUGCCAGCAGCCGCGGUAAUACGUAGGGUGCAAGCGUUAAUCGGAAUUACUGGGCGUAAAGCGUGCGCAGGCGGUUAUGUAAGACAGUUGUGAAAUCCCCGGGCUCAACCUGGGAACUGCAUCUGUGACUGCAUAGCUAGAGUACGGUAGAGGGGGAUGGAAUUCCGCGUGUAGCAGUGAAAUGCGUAGAUAUGCGGAGGAACACCGAUGGCGAAGGCAAUCCCCUGGACCUGUACUGACGCUCAUGCACGAAAGCGUGGGGAGCAAACAGGAUUAGAAACCCCAGUAGUCCC